rnacentral:rRNA from 1 species
AUCUACCCUUUGGCCUGGAAUAACACGAGGAAACUUGUGCUAAUACCGGAUAAGUCUUUACGGAGAAAGCUUUAUGCACCAUUGGAUGAGCCUGCACUUGAUUAGUUUGUUGGUGGGGUAAUGGCCUACCAAGACUUUGAUCAAUAGCUGAUUUGAGAGGAUGAUCAGCCACAUUGGGACUGAGACACGGCCCAAACUCCUACGGGAGGCAGCAGUGGGGAAUCUUGCACAAUGGAGGAAACUCUGAUGCAGCGAUGCCGCGUGAGUGAAGAAGGCCUUUGGGUUGUAAAGCUCUUUCGUCGGGGAAGAAAAUGACUGUACCCGAAUAAGAAGGUCCGGCUAACUUCGUGCCAGCAGCCGCGGUAAUACGAAGGGACCUAGCGUAGUUCGGAAUUACUGGGCUUAAAGAGUUCGUAGGUGGUUGAAAAAGUUGGUGGUGAAAUCCCAGAGCUUAACUCUGGAACUGCCAUCAAAACUUUUCAGCUAGAGUUUGAUAGAGGAAAGCAGAAUUUCUAGUGUAGAGGUGAAAUUCGUAGAUAUUAGAAAGAAUACCAAUUGCGAAGGCAGCUUUCUGGAUCAUUACUGACACUGAGGAACGAAAGCAUGGGUAGCGAAGAGGAUUAGAUACCCUCGUAGUCCAUGCCGUAAACGAUGUGUGUUAGACGUUGGAAAUUUAUUUUCAGUGUCGCAGUGAAAGCGAUAAACACACCGCCUGGGGAGUACGACCGCAAGGUUAAAACUCAAAUGAAUUGACGGGGACCCGCACAAGU